rnacentral:rRNA from 1 species
UACGUAGGGCGCAAGCGUUGUCCGGAUUUAUUGGGCGUAAAGAGCUCGUAGGCGGUCUGUCGCGUCGGCUGUGAAACCCCGAGGCUCAACCUCGGGCCUGCAGUCGAUACGGGCAGACUAGAGUGUGGUAGGGGAGACUGGAAUUCCUGGUGUAGCGGUGAAAUGCGCAGAUAUCAGGAGGAACAUCGGUGGGCGAAGGCGGGUCUCUGGGCCAUAACUGACGCUGGAGGAGCGAAAAGCGUGGGGAGCGAACAGG